rnacentral:rRNA from 3 species
UUAAGUGACGAUAGCCUAGGAGAUACACCUGUUCCCAUGCCGAACACAGCAGUUAAGCCCUAGAACGCCGGAAGUAGUUGGGGGUUGCCCCCUGUGAGAUAUGGUAGUCGCUUAGC